rnacentral:tRNA from 2 species
GGGCCGGUAGUUCAGUUGGGAGAACGCUACAAUGGCAUUGUAGAGGUCGCGAGUUCGAUUCUCGCCCGGUCCA